UUUUUCGUAUCUUUUUCAUCGCGAUAGGCGCAACGAUAUAUCGCUCCCUUCUUCUGGAUAUUUGCUUAAACUUUUUCAAGAACUGGCUGGUUUUGGCGGGAACGUCAAGUAUUAUAAAGUUUCCGUUGACUAUCAAGCAGUUGUCAAAAAAAUUAAUGAAUUCACUUGCAGCGCUUCCUUCUCUGCCGGCGCAUUGUAUUCGUGGGAUUCUUUGAAUGCACCCAACAUUUCAGAUCGAUUUUUCUUAGGGGGGCCUCUUUCUGUGAGGGGGUUCCCUACUAACUCUCUCGGGCCAAAGUCGGAAAAGGAUUACACUGGUGGAAACGCUUUUGCAGCUUUUGGGCUUUCCGUAUGGCACCCGCUUUCGCUGAUUUCUGAAUCCUUAAAACUUCACGGCUUUGUAAACGCUGGAAAACUUAUAAGCACGCGCAUAUUAAACUCUUGUUUAAAAGAAAACUUUACAUUAUUAAAUACUUCCUUACUUCCAGUUAGCCUCAGUGUUGGCGCUGGCAUAAUUUUUCAUUUAAAAAACGUCGCUCGACUUGAAGUAAAUUACUGCCUUCCUUUGGAAUAUCCUCCGAAAAAAAGAGAUGCGUGGCCUGUUCCGCCUGGAGUGCAGUUUGGGUUAG